rnacentral:rRNA from 1 species
GCGAACGGGUGAGUAACACGUGGGCAAUCUGCCCUUCACUCUGGGACAAGCCCUGGAAACGGGGUCUAAUACCGGAUAACACUCCUGCCUGCAUGGGUGGGGGUUAAAAGCUCCGGCGGUGAAGGAUGAGCCCGCGGCCUAUCAGCUUGUUGGUGAGGUAGUGGCUCACCAAGGCGACGACGGGUAGCCGGCCUGAGAGGGCGACCGGCCACACUGGGACUGAGACACGGCCCAGACUCCUACGGGAGGCAGCAGUGGGGAAUAUUGCACAAUGGGCGAAAGCCUGAUGCAGCGACGCCGCGUGAGGGAUGACGGCCUUCGGGUUGUAAACCUCUUUCAGCAGGGAAGAAGCGAGAGUGACGGUACCUGCAGAAGAAGCGCCGGCUAACUACGUGCCAGCAGCCGCGGUAAUACGUAGGGCGCAAGCGUUGUCCGGAAUUAUUGGGCGUAAAGAGCUCGUAGGCGGCUUGUCACGUCGGGUGUGAAAGCCCGGGGCUUAACCCCGGGUCUGCAUUCGAUACGGGCUAGCUAGAGUGUGGUAGGGGAGAUCGGAAUUCCUGGUGUAGCGGUGAAAUGCGCAGAUAUCAGGAGGAACACCGGUGGCGAAGGCGGAUCUCUGGGCCAUUACUGACGCUGAGGAGCGAAAGCGUGGGGAGCGAACAGGAUUAGAUACCCUGGUAGUCCA